ACCACCCUCACCUUGGCCUAGUGA
rnacentral:siRNA from 1 species